AGAAAUUUGUUUGGUUCACACAUGAAGCAUAUUCAUAAGAUGCCGCUAUUUUCAUACUAAUUAGGAAUUAAAAAAGGUUCACGUUAAAACUUAAUCUCAAUAACUAGUUUAAUCCCUAUCAAUCUCUGUCCGAUUCAAUAUCAUUAAAAGAGGAGUAGAUCCGAAGCCUUAAGAGCACCAGGGUCACUGUUCCAAUAAAAGUUAGAUCUAAACCUGCUAUUCUGUAUUUAUUACUUUAAGUAACAUAUUAGAAAUCAUGAUUUAGAGUUUAUUUGUGUGUAGACAUUAUGUCUUUAAGGAAAUUAGUUUCUGGGCGUGAGGUAUUUGCAUUAUGACUGAUAAUGUUCCAUAAAAAUGCUAGUUGUUUUUUGUGUUAAAAGUUACCAUGUGUUUUAUCAUUUAUAAAUGUUGUAGAAGUUUUAUCGUGUUUUUUUUCUUUCUAUUUUUUAGUUCUUAUGCAGCAGAGAUUCAUGCCUUAAAUUCUACCAGAAUCAUGACUAUAGUAACCUAUUGCCUUGCAUAGAUAUGUGAAAAGGCAACAUGCUCUCUAGCUGUUAGGAUUCAUUACAAGUUUGAACCUUUAGAUGGAAGCCAUGUUCAUCUACUGUGUGUAUAUAAAAAAUAUCUCAUUUUAGUUCGUGAUUAAAAACUAUUUCCUAAAAAAAAAACCUUAUUUUAACCAUAGAUUGAUUUUGCGUACAUUUUGAGAAAUCAUAUUUUCAAGAAAAGGGUAGUAUCAAUUUGAAAUAUAUGUGUACAUGCAUAAGAUAUUCAUAUAGACUAUUAAAGUAUCUGUUAGAAUCCAUGCUAAUAGACAAACUGUAGCUUCAUAUGAUAUUAUGUUAUGAUUACAUGUGGUUUAUGAUCUUGUCAAAUGACUGGUUUAUGUGGUAGAAUAGCAUUAAGUCUUGUUAAGCAUUUGUCUUAUUUGAGGUAGUGUUAGUUUAAGUUAGAAAGAAAACCUUCAGCUAUUUUGUUGUAUAACUUGUCUAAUAGUUUAUUGUUUACCAGAAGUAUAUUCUAAAACUCUAACCUAUGUCAGUUUAAUCACCUGGAUAUAAAUAUUUAUAUAGGUUUAUGUAGGAACUUACUGUUGAAAACCUUUUCUCUAAGGCUUGAUGCUAAAAGUUUUGUUUGGAAUUCUAUUGUCUGAUAUAAAAAAAACCUGCAAGCCUAAAAGGGUUUUGACAAUAUGAAAGCUAAUUUGGGUUUUACAAAAGAUUUUCUGUGAUUAUUCUACUCAUUUCGAACACUAUAUGUUUAAGACUAUUUUUACUAAUCUUUAUUCUCUAUUUUUUCUUUGCAUGUACACUUCAGAGUGACCUGGAGUCUUAACGCAAGACUCUUCCUACCCACAUAGAGUUAUCACAAACUAUCUUCUUUAAUCGCAUCGGACAAGAAGAAAACAAGCAAAUUUGCUUGGGGUCGCCUAUGGCGGCUUUCAUUAUUCUUUACUUACUUUGUCUAAAUUUCGUUAGUUUAUGUGAUUUGGUUUUCUGUGGAGUUUGUUUUAUUAUUGAUGAUUAAUUUUAUCGUGUAAAUUUAUAACCGUUAUUCUGGCCAAAUAUCUUACUAAUCAAAAAACUUCUAAGAAUUCAAUCACUUGGAAUAUUGGUCCAUUCUCUAGAGACAUAAAGAAGGCAAUGAAACUUUCUUGUGCUUGACAACAUGGCUUUUGAAUUGAAUUUUGCAGAUUUCUUUUUUUUUUCUUUAAAUAAAUAAUUUCAACAACUUCUUGACCUUAAUAAAGUUUGAUGACAAACAAAAAUAGUUUUCUUUUUAUUGCGGUUAGUGACAGGUUUUUAAAAAAAAUGAUCGUUUGCUUCCAAAUUUAUAUAUGCACAUAUUAAUUAGCUUUUAACUUCUUUUGUUUUUUUACUUAAUAAUAUUUUCAAGUUUAAACUACUCAAUUAUAAGUUAUUGUCUUGUAAUACCUUAAAUGUUUUCGAUAAAUUAUUUAAUACUUAUUAACCUAAGUUCGGCCGGUUAAUCGUUAUUAACGGAUUUUAAAAGGUGUUUUAAAACCUUCCUUUUAAAAUAUUUAAAACCCUUAUUUAGAAUCUUUAUGUUAAGACAAUAUGAAAGAGUUUGACUUAAGCUUUAAAAAUAGGUGUCCUAAUUCACCUUAGAAUUAAUUAGGUGGCCACUCUUUUAAGAAUUAAUUCAACCUCAAAAUCGCUAAUAUGUUAUACUCUAAUUUGACCCGUGUUAAAAUGGGGUAUAAUAGCUUCGCGACUCUGCUGGGGAAUUUAGAUUUUAAACCAUAACAAACUUAGGUUAAUAAAAAUGGCUUUUGUAUUUUGUGAAUGUUUUUAUUUGUUGCCUUAUUUGAAAAUGUGCUACUCCUUAUAAAAUGUGAUUACUAUCUUUUAUAAACUGUCAUUCCGUUUUCACUUCCUCCACUUUUGGAAAAUUCACACUGAGCACACACCUAGCGGUUACGCAGUUUGCGGCCGUGCACUUUUUCAAAAAAUACUUUUUAGGGGAAAGUUUGUGGGUAAGUCGAUCAGCGGUGCAAUCGACAGUCACAACUUUCCACUCUCAAGUUGUCUACUUGGGAAAAGACCAGUCUAGAAAACCCACUCUUAGCCGACCUAGGAUAGAGCUAAACCAAAUUCCUUCUUAGGGGCAUGCAUCACGCAACCUUAGGAGGAUUAAUACCCUAGGUGUAUUAAGUCCAUUAGUUAGCCUUAUCCAAAUUUCCAAGCAGGUUUAUAACCCCGAGUGACACCUAUUCAUCCUUUAUGUGCAUUAUUUGAAAGAUAAACACACUGAUUAUGUGGACCAUUUACUCCUAAAAAGGGAAAACGGGUAGGAUUAACCUUUUCUGUAAUGCAAGAAAUCAUGAAUCAAGUUGUUUACCCAAAGAUUGGCAUGGUGUUGGACAUCCCUCCCAAACUAAAGGCAUGGUGGAGAAACUUAGGAGAGAAUGCACAGUCCAAAGUAUGAAAGAAGCUGGGUCACCUACCGUUACUUAUAGAAGUCACAUCAUGUAGGGAAAUAAUUGAAGCAUCAGUCACCUUUUGGGAUGAAGAAAGAGCCGUAUUCAGAUUUGGGGAAAAUGAGAUGACACCAUUGUUAGAAGAGAUUGGAGGCUUCAAUUAAUAGAGAAUGUGAGUUUGUUAUGGAAAGGCAGACAUUCUUGGCAAAGCGCUGGCAUGAUUAUUCCAAAAAAUCCCUCAACAAAAGAGUUCCUUGAAAAGUUUAGUUUUGAGAAAGAAAUUGGGCUAGAGCAUUUGAAAGAAUCCAAGAUACCCCUAGACUAUCUGUUCGACAUCUUUGGAUGUUCAGAUGCUUUUCUACGACAUCGAGAGGUGUUCUCCUCACAUGCUUCUUGGAGUGAAAAGAGGGUAUUCGUUUUUUUGGUUUGUUUCCUCGGGCUCCUAGUAUUUCCCCGAGGAGCAAAACAAGAGAUUCACAACCGACUUGUCAUGGUUGCUGAUGCAUUAUUUAAUGGCAUUGAUGGAAAGCCAUAUACCAUAGUGUCGAUGGUUGUUGCAGAUAUAUACCGAGCUUUGGUCCUUUGCAAGAAGGGAUUUAAACAUUUUAAGGGAUGUAAUUUGUUGCUGCAGUUGUGGUUUAUAGAGCAUCUCCAAAAGAUUAGUGGAAGCCAAGAGCUUUACAAGCAAAACGGUGCUAAUCAUAUCAUGUCAUACACGAUCCAAGUGGUUUCAUUCAAGCGCCCAAAUAGUGUUAAAGGAUGGGGCAAGUUACUUAACAAGCUGAACGACACCACGAUUCAAUGGAUGUUUUCUUGGUAUCCUUCUGAGAAUUUUGUAAUUCGUGGAAAAAUGCUACCUUACUUGGUUCUCAUCGGGCUUCGAGGACUUCAACCAUAUGCUCCAUUACGAGUUAUGAGACAAGCCGGAAGAACGCAAGUCAUACAACAAGUUGAUAACAUGGAUCAUUAUCGAUUUGACUAUGAUAAUGAUAAGAUUCCUUUUGCGAAGGAAAUUCUCAGGAUGAGGAGAAACAAGAGAGCUAUGGUCAAGGAUAUAAUUGCACCAGAUAGGUACCAAGCUGGAUGUGACACUUUUUACUUAGAAUGGUUACAUGCCAACCAUGAAGGUUCUGUCAAAAGAGGGAUUAAUAUGGGAGGCCGAAUCAAAAAUAAGGUAGCCGAAGCUGAAAUCAAGUACCGUUGGUUGAAAAGAAGGGUGUCUGAGUCCAAAUCAAACUACAAGGAGCAGUAUGAGAAGGACAACAAAGAGAUUGAAAUGUUGAGACAAUGAGAGGAUAUAUAGAAGAAACAAAUAGAAAUGUGGAAACAACAAGUUGUGGAAAUGGAGCAAGGACUCAAAGAUUUGGAUGGAGACCUCAAGAAGCAAUUCACAAAAUGCUAUUGCCAAGGACUCGAGGAAGGAGGAAAGUUAGCCAUGGUUUACCUUGUGAAGAAUCGCCAGAAAAUUGACGAGGCAAUAAGAGCAACGAAGAGGCUAAGAGGCAAUGAAGAACCAUCCUCAGUCAAUUAGAUUAGAACUAUGUUGUAAUCUUUAUUUCAAUUAAGGGGCAAUGAAGAACCAUCCUCAAUCAAUUAGAUUAGAACUAUGUUGUAAUUUUUAUUUCAAUUAAGGCUAUGCCAUUGGAAUCGUUUUAGACUAAGGCAAUGUUGGUAUUUCUCUUUUCAUUUAUGUACUAAGACUCAAAUCAUCAAUGAAAGUUUAUUUUAGGGUAUUUAAUUAAGGAGAAAUGGAAUGAUAUAUAAUGGUGUGUUUAUCUCUCAAAUCUUCUCUAGGCCUACCUCUGGCACAAAGAGGUCCCUUGCAUACUAGGACACGCUUAACAUUGCUUGACUUGUUUGUAUUAUUACGUGAUUUGUUUGUUAUAUGAUAUACUUAUUUUUAAAUCUAAUCACCACUUACUAAUAUUGUCUUUUAUUUCCCUUUUAAAGGUUUUCUAUUUUAUUACUCCCCAAGGUUGAUUUGUGUUUACUGCGAACUAACUAAACACCCAUACUUCUUGAGAUCCAAGGCACAAGCAGCUACCGACAUGGCUGGUUCAAACACAUCUAAUAUGACAGGCUUGGGACUUGUCACCGUUCAACGAGACGAACCCGAGGCUUCAGAAGGAAGGGAGGUUACCCUUCAUGGUGAGCACAUCGCCCAAUUGUCGCAACAAGUGGCUAACUUUCAAGGUGAAAUUGAACGGCUUCGGAACCUUACAAAUCUUUUUAUCAGCCACAACACACCACUUCCCUAAGAUAGGACAAAUGCACCUAUCCCACCGCCUUUCCCAUCUUUUGACUCACCUAUCCCGGAACACCUUCCACCAAACCCUCCACUUCACAACAAUAAGCCAGCAUCCACUAACGCACAUGCUAACCCGCAACAAGCCAACCCAUCGACUUUCAACACAUCACAUGUUUCCCAGCCACCACUAGCCCAAAGCACCCCCGCACCCAAAACCACCAUGUAAUCCAACACAUACCGAUGGCACACGUCGCUAUUCCUAAUAUGCAGCAUGUGACACCGGUAUAUGUAGCGGAAGCACAACCUUUUACUACCCCUAUGCCUCACCAACUUCACUCCGAAGUGUAUCAGUAUCAGGAAGCAGAAAAAGAAGUAAGGGCCAAAACCGAUGAGUAUAUGGCGAAGGAUAUCCGUGAGUUAAAGGAAGCAUUCAAAAGUCUGAAAACCGUUAGGAGUAUGGAAGUUUUAGAGUAUGAGGAUGUAUGUGUUCAUCCCGAUGUCGAUUUACCCGCAGGAUAUAAAGUACCAAAAUUUGACAUGUUUGAUAGAAAAGGAAACCCACGAGCUCAUUUGAUGUUGUAUUGUGAUAAGUUAGUUGGAGUGGGAAAUGAUGAAGCUAUCAGGAUGAAACUUUUUAUAAGGAGUCUUACAGGGGAAGCCCUUGAUUGGUACACAAGUCAAGACCCACAGAAAUGGCGCAACAGGAGUGUCAUGGAGCAAGAUUUCAUGGACAGAUUCAGAUUUAACACCAAGACCAACCCAGAUAGAUUCUAUUUGAUGACGUUGGAGAAGAAAACAACAGAAUACUUUAGAGAGUAUGCCAAAAGAUGGAGGGCAGAAGUAGCAAGAGUCCAACCCCCGAUGGGAGAGGAUGAGAUGACAACUACUUUUAUUCGAUCUCAAACGGAUACGACAUAUUAUGAGAGAUUGAUAAGCAUGUUGGGGAAGAAAUUCUCGGAAGUUGUUAGGAUGGGAGACAUCAUAGAGGAAGGUCUCAAAUCAGGAAAGAUUACAAACUUGGCAGCACUACAAGCAACGAGUAAGGCAACCCAGUCAGGAACUAUUGGAGGAGCAAGUAAGAAGACGGAGAAAGAAGUAUCCACUAUUAUGACCAUCCAAGACCGCAGGCCUAACCAAAUGUUAACCUACCAAAACCCGUUACCUCAACCUUCAUACUAUAGCCCAUACACCCAAACUCCUCAACCUUAUUACCAGCCUUCGCCCAUUCCCUAUCCUGUUUAUAAUGCCUAACCGACCUAUUAUCCACCCCGAGCACCCACAUACCCAAAUCCAUCACAUUACCAACCCACAUAUCCAUCUCAACCCCGUUACCAAUCACAAAACCGCCCAAAUACACCUAGACCUCGCCCAAGCUUUGAAAGAAAACCAGCCAAAACCUAUACACCCCUACCUGAACCUUUAGCCCAGUUGUAUGAAAGGUUGAAAACCGUAGGAGUAUUCCAACCAGUCCCAGGAAGAGUUCCCGACCCCCUCCCAGGAUAGUAUGAUGGGACCAAGCAUUGUGCAUAUCACUCUGGUGUGACUGGACAUGACACACAAAAUUGCCUUACUCUCAAAGAUAAGAUUGAAGAGUUGAUCAAAGCAGGAACCAUUCAGCAUAAGGGAGCUCCCCCGAAUGUGAACAACAACCCUCUUCCAAAUCACGAUGAUACCAGUAUUAACAUGAUAUCUACUGAUGAAGAUUGGAAUUUGGAAGGAACAAUUGUACCAAUUGAAGAUGAGAACAAGGCUAUGUCAUCUGCCUUCAUUGCUCCUGUCAUCACAAUGCAAGUGCGAGCACCAAUUAAGGUGGAAGUACUCCCUCCGAAACCCAGGAUCAUGGCUCUAGUUGCUCAGACACCCUCAUUUGAAACCAAAGCAGUUCCUUGGGACUAUAGUCUGAUGUAAGGAACAAAGGAAAGGCAAAAUUAGUUGUAGAAGCUGCUGCUACAGGUAUGACAAGAUCCGGUCGGUGUUAUGUUCCUAAAGAAGCAUCACGAGGAACUUCAAGUAAGGACAACAACCAGAAGAAGUCCGUGACAGAAGCUGGCGCAGAAGAGUUUUGGAGAAAAAUGCAAUGUAGCGGAUACUCUAUUGUAGACCAACUGAAGAAGACACCAGCUCAAAUUUCCCUCAUGUCAUUAUUGAUGAGUUCCGACAGCCACAGGAAUGCAUUGGUAAAAGUACUCAAUGAAGCAUAUGUGCUAGUCGAGACAACUAGUGAACAUUUGGAAACUAUGGUAGCCCAAAUCCUAGAAGCCCAUAAGAUUUAUUUUCACGAGGAUGAAUUGCCACCUGAAGGUCUAAGUCACAACAAAGCUUUGCAUCUCACUGUCAAGUGCAGGGACAAGUUUAUUUCUAGGGUUUUGAUCGAUAAUGGUUCUGCACUCAAUAUAUGUCCUUUCACUACCCUCAAAGCUUUGGGAAUUGACAUUGGAAAAGUUCGUGAAAGUCAUGUGAAUGUUAGAGCUUUUGAUGGAGCGCAAAUGAGCGCUAUUGCUGAAAUUGACUUAGCAUUACAAAUUGGGCCUAUGGAGUUUAUCAUUGAAUUUCAAGUGUCAAACAUAUCUGCUACUUAUAAUUUGUUGUUGGGAAGGCCAUGGAUUCACAUGGCUGGUGCAGUCCCUUCCACUUUGCACCAGAACGUGAAGUUUGUGUGGAAUCACCAGGAAGUUGUGAUUCAUGGAGAAGCAAGUAAUCCCAUUUACUCCGGGAAUUCAAUCCAUGUCAUUGAAAGUGUGGAGAGGCUGGAUGGAGCCACUUUCCAAAUUGAAGAAAUUAUGACUGCUACUCGAGGUAAAGAGAUAAAGUUGCCAAGUGUGUUCGUGAUGGUGGCAUCAGAAAUGUUGAAGAAUGGUUUCGAGCCUGGUCGAGGACUUGGAGCAAGGUUGCAUGGAAUAGUGGAGCCAAUUCAGUUACCAAGGCAGAACAACACCUUUGGCCUAGGGUACGAACCCACUCCGAAAGAAGUCUCGGAGGCUCGUCUCAAGAAGAAAAGUGACAUUGUCCUGCCACAGCCUAUCCCACCGCUAAGCCGGUCAUUCCCCAAGAUAGUUACUAUUUAUGAACUAGAUGAAGAUGCUGAAGACGACCUCGUUGAAGGAAUCAGGAACCUAUUCAUUGCCGACUGCAAUGUGAUUCUGAAGGAUUGCACUGAGUCGCCAACUAUUUGGGAUGCCGCACUUGGAGAUAUUUUGAACAAUUGGACUUGUACCCCAUCUCCGGUUCACCGGGAGUCUUGGUAGAUGGAUUGUAUUAGUACUUUUUAAACAACACGAUUCAAAAUUGAGGCCUGAAUCGUGCCUAUGAUUUUUAUGUUGUUUGCCUCGAUCUUUUAGAAGCUUAAAUGCAAAAUCUGAUUAUGCUUUUUUGUUUUACAUUUAAUUUUUUGUCUUUAUUAAUUUUCUUUCUUUUUUAUUUUUCAGCAAAUAAAUUAAUAAAAAUGCCUACACCGUGAAUGUGACAUGAAAUGAAACAAUUGAACAAAAUAACAAGCAAGAUCUUGAAGAAUAUGAAGAAGAUCUACCGCCUGCAGAAUUAACUAAAGAACUUGAGCAGUUUGAGAAUAAGUCAAAACCAAAUUUGGAUGAAACAGAGCUUAUAAAUUUGGGGAAUUUAGAGUCUAUAAAAGAAACAAGAAUUAGUGUCCAUUUGACACCAUCAGAAAAGGAGAAAUAUGUGGAUCUUCUGAGAUAAUACGUCGAUGUGUUCGUUUGGUCGUAUGACGACAUGCCUGGUUUAAGCACUAAUAUUGUUUCCCAUAAGUUUCCAACGGAUCCAUCUUGUCCCCUGGUAAAGCAAAAAACAAGAAAAUUCAAAACGGACUUAAGUUUGAAGAUCAAAGAAGAAGUCUCCAAGCAAUUUAAGGCAAAUGUCAUCCGAGUCACGAAGUACCCCACCUGGUUGGCCAAUAUAGUACCAGUACCAAAGAAUGAUGGGAAGAUAAGAAUAUGUGUGGAUUAUCGGGAUCUCAACAAGGCUAGUCCAAAGGAUGAUUUCCCACUUCCGAAUAUUCACAUACUCAUUGAUAAUUGUGCAAAGCAUGAGUUGCAGUCAUUCGUUGAUUGCUUUGCCAGUUACCACCAGAUUUUGAUGGAUGAAGAUGAUGCUGAGAAGAUAACAUUUAUCACACCUUGGGGGGUGUAUUAUUAUCGAGUAAUGCCUUUUGGACUCAAGAAUGCAGGUGCUACAUACAUGAGAGCUAUGAAAACUAUUUUUCAUGACAUAAUCCAUAAAGAGAUUGAGGUCUAUGUGGACGAUGUCAUCAUCAAGUCAUGGAAGAGUUCAGAUCACUUGGUAGACCUGAAGAAGUUCUUUGAUAGGUUGCGGCGAUACAAUUUGAAGCUGAAUCCCGCAAAGUGUGUAUUCGGAGUUCCAGCUGGAAAAUUAUUAGGUUUCAUUGUCAGCAGAAGAGGCAUAGAGUUGGAUCCUUCAAAGAUAAAGGCUAUCCAAGACCUGCCACCUCCAAAGAAUCGUAAGGACGUGAUGAGCUUCCUUGGUUGCCUUAACUACAUUAGUCGUUUCAUAGCCCAAUCAACAGUGAUUUGUGAGAUGAUAUUCAAGAUGCUGAUGAAAGAUACCACUACCAAAUGGACAGAGGAAUGUCAACGAGCUUUUGAUAGGAUCAAGGAAUAUUUAUCUAACCCACCAGUGCUGGUACCUCCGGAACCUGGAAGGUCAUUGUUGUUAUGCAUGUCCGUAUCAUAUAAUGCAUUUGGAUGUGUUUUGGGGCAACAUGAUGAAACUGGAAGGAAGGAACAAGCCAUAUACUACUUGAGCAAGAAGUUCACACCAUAUGAAGUAAGAUAUACUUUGUUGGAAUGUACCUGUUGUGCCUUAACUUGGGUUGCACAAAAUUUGAGGCAUUACUUGUCAGCAUACACCACUUAUCUCAUUUCUAGGAUGGACCCGCUCAAGUACAUCUUUCAGAAACCUAUGCCUACAGGAAAGCUGGUGAAGUGGAAGAUUUUGCUAAGCGAGUUUGACAUCGUGUAUGUUACUCAGAAGGCCAUCAAAGGACAAGCUUUAGCUGACCACCUUGUAGAAAAUCUUGUGGAUGAAGAAUACAAGCCACUUAUGACGUACUUCCCCGAUGAAGAAGUAUUGUUUGCUAGAGAAGACAUUUCAGAGGCAUAUUCUGGUUGGAGAAUGUUUUUUGACGGAGCCGCAAACUUCAAACGAGUUGGAGUUGGAGUAGUAUUAGUUUCAGAAUCUGGACAACAUUAUCCAAUCUCAGCGAAACUUCAGUUUUCAUGCACCAACAACAUGGCGGAAUAUGAGGCUUGUAUACUUGGGCUUAGAAUGGCCGUUGAUAUGAACAUCCAAGAGUUGUUGGUUAUAGGUGAUUCAGACUUGCUGAUUCAUCAAGUACAAGGCGAAUGGAAUACAAAGAACUCAAAAAUCCUACUGUACUUACAUUAUGUAAAGGAGCUGUGUAAGAAGUUUAUCAAAGUGGAUUUCAAGCAUGUUCCAAGAGUUCAAAAUGAGUUUGCAGAUGCUUUGGCAACUUUUUCUUCCAUGAUUCAACAUCCAGAUAAAAACUACAUAGACCCUAUCAAGGAGAAUGUGCAAGAUCAACCAGCUUAUUAUUUCCAUGUGGAUGAAGAGCCAGAUGGAGAACCAUGGUAUUAUGACAUUAAGAGGUAUCUCAAGACAAGGGAUUACCCUGAAGGAGCAACCAAUACCCAGAAGAGAACGCUUAGGAGAUUGGCAAAUCACUUUUUCCUAAACGGCGAAAUCCUAUAUAGGAGGACCCCAGAUUUAGGACUGUUGAGGUAUGUAGAUGCUAGGGAAGCAACCAAGCUGAUUAAAGAAAUACACGCAGGAACAUGUGAGCCUCACAUGGAUGGGUUAACUUUGGCAAAGAAAAUUCUGCGAGCAGGUUACUUUUGGAUGAUCAUGGAAAUAGAUUGCAUUCGUUUUGUACAGAAAUGUCAUCAGUGUCAGAUCCACAGUGAUUUGAUUCGAGUCCCACCAAAUGAACUCAAUGUGACGAGUUCUCCUUGGUCGUUUGCAGCUUGGGGCAUGGAUGUCAUUAGCCCUAUUGAGCUGGCCGCCUCGAAUGGACAUAGAUUUAUCUUGGUAGCUAUUGAUUACUUUACAAAGUAGGUAGAAGCCUCUUCUUACAAGUCAGUUACAAAGAAGGUAGUAGAAGAUUUUGUCCGCAACAACAUCGUUUGCUGAUUUGGAAUUCCUGAGUCAAUCAUUACAGAUAAUGAAGCCAAUCUCAAUAGUGACUUGAUGCAAGAAAUAUGUGAUAAGUUCAAGAUUACUCACCAAAAUUCCACUCCCUACCGACCUCAGAUGAAUGGAGCCGUUGAAGCAGCCAACAAGAACAUAAAGAAGAUAUUACGGAAGAUGAUUGAUAACUACAGGCACUGGCAUGAGAAACUACCAUUUGCUCUCCUUGGAUAUCGCACUACAGUCAGAACAUCAACUGGGGCAACGCCUUAUCUUCUGGUCUAUGGAACUGAAGCCGUAUUACCAGCGGAAGUUGAAAUACCAUCUUUGAGGGUCAUCCAAGAAGCCAAGCUGAGCAAUACCGGAUGGGUAAAGAAUCGGUACGAACAACUAAUGCUUAUUGACGAGAAGAGAAUGAAUGUUGUAUGCCAUGGUCAACUCCAUCAAACUAGGAUGACCAGAGACUUCAACAAGAAAGUGAAACCACGUCAGUUUAAACCGGGGCAAUUGGAUUUGAAGCGCAUAUUCCCGCACCAAAAUGAAGCUAAAGGAAAGUUUGCACCAAAUUGGCAAGGUCCAUACAUGGUGCAUUGAGUAUUGACUGGAGGAGCACUGAUUCUAGCAGAAAUGGAUGGAGAAGUGUGGCCCAAGCCCAUCAAUGCAGAUGCAGUCAAGAGAUACUACAUCUAGAGGCAUAUCUAGCAACCUCUUUCUUUUCUAUGUAAUGCUUCAUAAUGUAAAUGAACUAUGUUUGACCUGAUUCCCGUUUAAGAGGGGAUACGUAGGCAUCCCUGUGGGUUUGGUCUCAUCAUAAUAAAAAUUCAAUAUUUGCCCCCAAAUUGGAAACUGGGGCAGCUUUCGAAGGCGUCGUCAUGAGGAGGCAUCAUUCAUCGACAAAGGAUGGUCACACAAGACGAAUAAUGGGAUUCCAGAUGAGGACGUUCACUUUGUUUCACGAGCAUGUCACAAUACAGAAUUCGGCAAUAACUUUAUUUUAUAAAAUUAUGCAUAUUUUAUUUAUUAAAAUAGGAUUUUUUAUCAAAAUUUCUUAACUAUUCGUUCGCCAAGAUUCAGUGUUGGGUGGAGGUUACAAGUCCAAACAAAGUGGGAAGAACAAGAUUAUCAAAGACCAGGGCAUCAAAGUCAACACGGAUCAACCUUCCCUCCCCCCUCCCAAACUCAUAAUUUUUUCUUUGAGUGCAGAUUUUCAAGAUAGAGGAAGCAAAAGAAUCAAUAACGAAUAUAAAUAUCAAGAGCCUUCGUCAAGUGGUUUGAAUUUUGUAUAGUAUUUUAUAGAAAAUUACACCUUUUGAAUGAUGAUGAUCUUUAAAAUCCAAGUUUGAGAUUUUUCUAAUGAUGGUUUUGGAAUCUUACAAUAUUUUUUAAUACAUUGAUUGUCAUUACUUUUCAGCUACUAAUUUUUUUAUAAAUACAAACUACAUCGCACACGGUUUUAAACAUAUUGCACAUUGACUUUUAAAUGUACUGCACCAUUGCUUUCAAAUACACUGCACCAUUGCUUUCAAAAGCACCACACAAAUGCUUUCAAAUGCAUUGCACCAUUGUUUUCGAAUGCACCAUUGCCUACAAAAUGCAUAAUAUAAAUGCUUUCAAAUGCACUGCACUUUUGCUUUCAAAGGCACUGCAAAUGCACUGCACAAAUGCUUUAAAAAGUACCAUAUUAUUGCUUGCAAAUGCACGAUGCAAAUGCUUUCAACUACACUGCACCAUUACUUUUAAAUGCACCAUACAAUUGCCUUGCAAAUGCACCACAAAUAUUUUUUAUUACCUUAAAUCAUUUGGCUUGGAAAGCCUCAUCAGUCAUUUGGCUUAAACACCUCGAUUACUGCAUCAUUUGACUUAAAUGCCUCAUUUUCAUCAAUCAUUGGCUUAAAUGCCUCAUUUUUAUCAAUCAUACAUAAGUCAUCGCUGAAAGGCACCAUUUACAUGAAUCAUUGGCUCAAAGACUCAUUUCAUUAGUCAUGAUCAAAGAAUUAUUUUUAACAUACCUGGCUUAUUUUAUGAUAAAUUAACUGCUUAAAGGUGUCAUUUUAAUGAAAUUAUUGUUAUGACUUAUUGCAUUUUUAUAUCUCGUUUACUAACAAUUUUACCUAGCCUGUUGAGUUUAGCAGGAAAUUUAUCACAACAUGGAACUCUAUCUAACCAGCGAACUAGGGCAGUUUGCUGGGGAGGAAACCAGACUCACCAGCAAAAGUCAAAGGUCUACUUUCGGAUUCCGUUCAGCUUGACUAUCAAAAUCUUAGCCAAAAUCCUUAUUUCGACACAUUUUCUUUCAAUCAUGAUCCCCAGUGUCUGACACCUUGUGUCUCCACAAUUCGACACUGGGGCAGCAUUUUAGGAUCCGCAUCAAUCAUUAAGUCCUACUCCGUAGCACCAUCAGUCUGGAAUUACAUAUGGCUUGAUUCUCGUGAAACCCGAGAUAUGUAGGCAACUCGAAACCAGAGUUCGGCCGCAAUCAUUUUUUUAUCUCUCUUUUGACAAAUUUCAACCUCACUGGUCGGGACAAAAUUGGCUACUACAUCAAUUUCUUUGCCCGAAAACUNNNNNNNNNNNNNNNNNNNNNNNNNCAUCACCACCUUUCAGCAGCCCAUCACUUCUCAAUAGCCCAAUAACAGAUCCAACAACCCAACUUUUCCACAACCUAAAUCUCCUAACCUCUCUCUAUCUCCCUCAAAACAGACGCCCCACUCCCUUCUCCAUUUUCAGAAAACUUCCAAGCUCUUAUAUCUUUCAAGUAGAGGAAUGACGCACCAUUUUUGUGCAAAAAGGUCUCUCUACUCUCAUUAAGUAUCUAAAUAUUCCAAAGGAUAUUCCUUUUACUCUUUUUUGUUUGUGCUUGACAACUUCGAAAUCAAAUUGAAACACACCAUAGCCUCGCCAAUUCGGGUAAGGACUGGAACAAAUCACGCCUUUUUGACCAAAUCACGUGAUGUCUGCAAAGUCCGUCCAAGAAAGAUCAACGAUCAAAUUUAAAACAUUCAUUUUGAAUGAAAAAUAAAAAAUCAAGAAUCCUGCCCAACUAACCCUAGAGAGCCCUAAUUCAUCUCCUAUAAAUACCAAACUUGGUGGAGAUUUUCAGCAACUUUUGAACCCACAAUCUUUUUUACAUUCUUCUCCGAGCCUCCUUCUCUGAUUUCUUACUCAUUGGAGCCACGCUUUAAGGGCUCGUUUUGGUCACCCCUACUGGUCUCGUUUAACCGAACUAGAUGUAGCGGCGUAAUUGUUUUGGAAUUUGACGAUCGUUUGAGGUUGCAGAGUAGAAGCCGGAGAUAGUAGACCUUGACGCGACCCCAGUUCCUGCACCGCAAAAGGUCAAUUUUUCCUUCUAAGUUUUAGUCGCUCUUUAUUUUUAUUAAGUAUAAAAUCGUUGUUUUAUUAUCCAGUAGAAUCAUGUGCUAGUCCCCUUUUGUUCUGUUAUAGAAGUUCAUGGUUCAGUUGCUUUAUAUGUGUAAAUCAUGUAUACAGAAAUUUGUUUGGUUCACCCAUGAAACAUAUUCAUAAGAUGCCGCUAUUUUCAUACUAAUUAGGAAUUAAAAAAGUUUCACGUUAAAACUUAAUCUCAAUAACUAGUUUAAUCCCUAUCAAUCUCUGUCCGAUUCAAUAUCAUUAAAAGAGGAGUAGAUCCGAAGCCUUAAGAGCACCAGGGUCACUGUUCCAAUAAAAGUUAGAUCUAAACUUGCUAUUCUGUAUUUAUUAGUUUAAGUAACAUAUUAGAAAUCAUGAUUUAGAGUUUAUUUGUGUGUAGACAUUAUGUCUUUAAGGAAAUUAGUUUUUGGGCGUGAGGUAUUUGCAUUAUGACUGAUAAUGUUCCAUAAAAAUGCUAGUUGUUUUUUGUGUUAAAAGUUACCAUGUGUUUUAUCAUUUAUAAAUGUUGUAGAAGUUUUAUCGUGUUUUUUUCUUUCUAUUUUUUAGUUCUUAUGCAGCAGAGAUUCAUGCCUUAAAUUCUACCAGAAUCAUGACUAUAGUAACCUAUUGCCUUGCAUAGAUAUGUGGAAAGGCAACAUGCUCUCUAGCUGUUAGGAUUCAUUACAAGUUUGAACCUUUAGAUGGAAGCCAUGUUCAUCUACUGUGUGUAUAUAAAAAAUAUCUCAUUUUAGUUCGUGAUUAAAAACUAUUUCCUAAAAAAAAACCUUAUUUUAACCAUAGAUUGAUUUUGCGUACAUUUUGAGAAAUCAUAUUUUCAAGAAUCCAUAUAGAUAUUCAUAUAGACUAUUAAAGUAUCUGUUAGAAUCCAUGCUAAUAGACAAACUGUAGCUUCAUAUGAUAUUAUGUUAUGAUUACAUGUGAUUUAUGAUCUUGUCAAAUGACUGGUUUAUGUGGUAGAAUAACAUUAAGUCUUGUUAAGCAUUUGUCUUAUUUGAGGUAGUGUUAGUUUAAGUUAGAAAGAAAACCUUCAUCUAUUUUGUUGUAUAACUUGUCUAAUAGUUUAUUGUUUACCAGAAGUAUAUUCUAAAACUCUAACCUGUGUCACUUUAAUCACCUGGAUGUAAAUAUUUAUAUAGGUUUAUUAGGAAUUUACUGUUGAAAACCUUUUCUCUAAGGCUUGAUGCUAAAAGUUUUGUUUGGAAUUCUAUUGUCUAAUAUAAAAGAAGCCUACAAGCCAAAAAGAGUUUUGACAAUAUGAAAGCUAAUUUGGGUUUAAUAAAAGAUUUUCUAUGAUUAUUCUACUCAUUUCGAACACUAUAAGUUUAAGACUAUUUUUACUAAUCUUUAUUCUCUAUUUUUUCUUUGCAUGUACACUUCGGAGCGACCCGGAGUCUUAACACAAGACUCUUCCUACCCGCAUAGAGUUAUCACAAACUAUCUUCUUUAAUCACAUUAGACAAGAAGAAAACAAGCAAAUUUGCUUGGGGUCGCCUAUGACGGCUUUCAUUAUUCUUUACUUACUUUGUCUGAAUUUCGUUAGUUUAUGUGAUUUGGUUUUGUGUGGAGUUUAUUUUAUUAUUGAUGAUUAAUUUUAUCAUGUAAAUUUAUAACCAUGAUUCUGGCCAAAUAUCUUACUAAUCAAAAAACUUCUAAGAAUUCAAUCACUUGGAAUAUUGGUACGUUCUCUAGAGACUUAAAGAAGGCAACGAAACUUUCUUAUGCUUGACAACGUGGCUUUUGAAUUGAGUUUUGCAGAUUUUUUUUCUUUAAAUAAAUAAUUUCAACAACUUCUUGACCUUAGUAAAGUUUGAUGACAAACAAAAAAUAAUUUUCCUUUUAAUGCGGUUAGUGACAGGUUUUUUAAAAAAAUGGUUGUUUGCUUCCAAAGUUAUAUAUGCACAUAUUAAUUAGCUUUUAACUUCUUUUGUUUUUUUACUUAAUAAUAUUUUCAAGCAUAAGCUACUCAAUUAUAAGUUAUUGUCUUGUAAUACCUUAAAUAUUUUCGAUAAAUUAUUUAAUACUUAUUAACCUAAGUUCGGCCGGUUAACCAUUAUUAACGGAUUUUAAAAAAUGUUUUAAAACCUUCCUUUUAAAAUAUUUAAAACCCUUAUUUAGAAUCUUUAGGUUAAGACCAUAUGACAACGCUUGACUUAAGCUUUAAAAAUUGGUGUCCUAAUUCACCUUAGAAUUAAUUAGGUGUCGACUCUUUUAAAAAUUAAUUCAACCUCAGAAUCGCUAAUAUGUUAUACUGUAAUUUGACACGUGUUAAAAUGGGGUAUAAUAAGCGUUAUGAUGCUUGGGCUGUAGGAGCCCCCCCGGAGUCUGUACACCCCUAGUAAACGUAGUCGACUAUAAACUAUGGAUCGGGUUGCACGCCGCAUCGGUUAUUAUGAUUAUUACUAUUAUGAAGUGUAUUUGAACCUGAGUGCUGAGUGUGAGCACUAAGUGGCGAGAGCUGAGUCACGAGUGACUGAGAGGCUUACCCGAGAGGCUAUAUUUAUGAGUGAUACCUUGUCCGAGGAGCCCAUUUAUGAUAUUUUUGCUGAUUUCACUCUUCUUUUAUAAUGAGCCUCUGUUAAAAACUACUAAGUAAAUGAUUUCAAAGUAUUUCAAUUGAAACUGAAGCUUUAUGAAGAAACUGGAUUUGAAACUGUCGAGUCUAACUUGAUAUCAUGUUGUUUACUCUUUUAUAUAAUUUUUAACUGCUCGUCACUGCUUUCAGACCUUAUUUACUUUAGUUACUUACUGAGUUGGCGUACUCACAUUACUCCCUGCACCUUGUGUGUAGAUCCAGGUGCCCGAGCGGCAGAGUGAGGGUCCUCAGCAUUGUCAGAGUUUGCCGGAGACUGCUAGGUAGCUGCAUGGCGUCCGCAGCCCUGCUUUCUUCCUUCUUAUCCUUGUUUUCCCCGCAUUUUAGACUUGUUAUGUAUUAGACAGUCGGAUUUGUGUAUUUAGAGGCUCGAAACUCGUGACACCAGAUGUUUGGGCUAUGUUGGUUUAAUGUUUUACUGAUUUUCGCACAUUUUAGCUGUUUUAUACAUUUCUUAUGAGAAUUUGAGAUUUAAUCAGUGUUAGAAAAUGAUUUUAUAAAAGAAAUUUAUUG
rnacentral:lncRNA from 1 species